ACGAACGCUGGCGGCGUGCCUAAUACAUGCAAGUAGAACGCUGAAGAGAGGUGCUUGCUCUUCUUGGAUGAGUUGCGAACGGGUGAGUAACGCUUAGGUAACCUGCCUUGUAGCUGGGGAUAACUAUUGUAAACGUUAGCUAAUACUGCAUAACACUGGAUGUCACUUGUCAUUUAUUUGAAAGGGUCAAUUUCUCCACUACAAGAUGGACCUGCGUUGUAUUAGCUAGUAGGUGAGGUAAUGGCUCACCUAGGUGACGAUGCAUCUCCGACAUGAGAGGGCGAAUAGCCACACUGGGACUGAGACACGGACCAGAAUGAUUGGGGAAGCAGCAGUAGGGAGUCUUAGGGAAUGGGGGAAGCACAAACCAAGAAGGGCCGCGUGAGUGAAGAAGGUUAUCGAGUCGUAAAGCAAUGUUGUAAGUAAAGAACGGGGGUGAGAGUGGAAAGAUCAGAGUGUGACGGUAGCUUACCAAGAAGAGACGGCUAACUACGUG
rnacentral:rRNA from 1 species